rnacentral:pre_miRNA from 1 species
UGGCUUUGUCCUAAGUCAAACUUUUCUAACUUUGACAGUUUGACGAAGUUUAUAGAAAUAUAUAUUGACAUCUACAAUACCAAAUAAGUGCAAUCUCAAGAUAUAUUGCAUGGUGGAUUCAAUGAAACUAAUUUGGUGUUAAAAAAUGUUAUUACAUUUUUCUAUCGACUUGGUCAAAAUUAGAUAAGUUUGACUAAGGAGAAAACCAA